AAUGCAAAAAGUCGAAAAGUCGACUUUUCAUAAAAUGCAAAAAGUCGAAAAGUCGACUUUUCGUUUCAACUAUAGAACCCUAAUUAGUAUGUAGCCAGCAUUAGUGCUUUUUUAAUUUUAUGCUUAUUAAAAUGCUAAAGUUGACAACACUAUACAGAGAGAAAAAGUUCUAUUGGAAAAAAAAUAACAGUGGCGCGCCACUGAGGCACAACACAACUAAAUAAAACUAUUGUUAUUAAUCAUUUAUUAAAACAAAUUUCACGAAACGCUUGAAGCGAGCGCACGCGUUUUUCUCUUGAAAUUUUUUUUAACAAGACAGAAAAAAUACAUAAAAAUUAAAUAAAAAAGAAAAAAAUAUAGAAAAAUUAUAUUUUUUAUAAAAAAAAUAAAAAUCCAUAAAAAAUUUUCAUAUAGAAGUGUGUUGUUAUUGUUGCAAGAAAGAAAAGAAAAUAUUCCAUAAAUAUGAGUGAUAAAUUAGUGAAUAACGGUGGAACUGCCGGUGAGGAAACCACAUC